GUCUGAGUCAGGGCUCCUGAGAGCAAGGAGACCUGCCUCCUCUCUCCUUCCUGCUUCUGGAAACCACUCCUCGCAAGCCGGGUCCGCUCACUGACAGCCACCUACCCUGCAGUUAGGUCCUGUCCUUUCUCAGCUGAGACAGGAGGGACAGGUGGCCCAUGCCGGAAGCAGUGGCUGCGGCACAGGAGCAAGGGGGAGUUCCUGGUCCAGAGCCCAGAGCUGCCAUGUGACAAACAGGAGGCCAGGUAUUAACAGGGUAGGAGUUGACAUUGUCCCCAGCGGAGCACAAGGACUCCCCGUGACAUGGCUGGGACAAUGGGAAGAAACAAUUCAGAAAGUGACGCAUUACUUCUGCCUGUGGACAGAGGGAACAGCUGAAACGUGGGAGACCAGACUACAGCUGUGUGACUACAGCUUUUUUUUUCUUUCUUUUUUUUUUUUUUCGUUUUUCUUCUUUUAAGCAGCGCAUAUUUUAGUGAAUAAAAACUACUGAUUCCCUCUGCUGGUGUUUUGG
rnacentral:lncRNA from 1 species